GACGAACGCUGGCGGCGCGCCUAACACAUGCAAGUCGAACGGAGCUUAAAGAGCUUGCUUUUUAAGCUUAGUGGCGAACGGGUGAGUAACGCGUGAGUAACCUGCCCUAGAGUGGGGGACAACAGUUGGAAACGACUGCUAAUACCGCAUAAGCCCACGGUACCGCAUGAUACUGAGGGAAAAGGAUUUAUUCGCUUUAGGAUGGACUCGCGUCCAAUUAGCUAGUUGGUGAGGUAACGGCCCACCAAGGCGACGAUUGGUAGCCGGACUGAGAGGUUGAACGGCCACAUUGGGACUGAGACACGGCCCAGACUCCUACGGGAGGCAGCAGUGGGGGAUAUUGCACAAUGGGGGAAACCCUGAUGCAGCGACGCCGCGUGGAGGAAGAAGGUUUUCGGAUUGUAAACUCCUGUCGUUAGGGACGAUAAUGA
rnacentral:rRNA from 1 species